AUUCGAUUGAGACCACGGGUCAAUCGAGCCGACACGGAUGACCUCUCUUCCUCAGGGCGGCAUGGAGAAAACGGCGGCGGCGGUGGCGGUGGCGGCCGAAGAGGAGCCGGAGGAAGCGUGGGCGUGGACCUGGGGCGCGGGCACGGACGGGCAGCUGGGGAACGGCGGCUUCCAGGACUAUCAUCUCCCGCAGCCGCUCCUCCUCCCGCCUCGCUGCCGCGGCCGCGUUUCCUUCGUCGCCGGCGGCGGCGCCCACGCCAUCGCCCUCACAAGUGAUGGUGAAGUAUUUACUUGGGGCAGAGGUACCCAUGGUCAGCUUGGCCAUGGGAACAUAGAGAACAUCCCUCAUCCAAAGUCCGUUAAGUUCUUUGAAAACUAUACAGUAACCUGUGUGUCUACUGGAUGGAACCAUUCUGGAUUUGCUACAGGUCUCCAAAUUCUGAAACCAUUCAUUUACGUUUUACUUCUAUUUUGGUCUUCACGUUUCAUGCCAGCCCGUUUCUUAUUUUGUUUUGCUUUAGAACGGUUGUCUUAUUUUGUUUGGAAAGUGAAUUGUCACUGAUGAGCUUUGCUGUGAUGUUUCUAGUUGUUAUUUUCAGAUUCUGGGCAACUCUUCAUGUGCGGAGAUGGCUCAUUUGGACAGCUUGGCACUGGUGAUACUCAGUCAAGGAACUUGCCAUUUGAAGUGCCAUCCUUUACCACAAAGCAUGUCGAGAAGCUUGCAUUUGGGAUGCGCCAUUCUCUUGUCCUAUUGAAAGAUAAUUCAGUUUAUGGAUUUGGCUCAGCAAGACGGGGACAAGUUGGCAAAUCUGCUUCCAAAAAUCAGAAGUUUUGUAAUACUCCUAGAUUAAUUGAUGGUUUUCCAAACUGCAAAAUAGUGAAUUUAUAUGCCAAUGGAGAUCAUAGUGCUGCAUUGGAUGAAUCUGGCCAGUUGUACAUCUGGGGAAGAGCAUUAGUUGGUGAACAUGAUGAUGACCAACCUCGGGCAGCCUUUCCCUCUUUGAGUAUUUCUCAAGUGGCAUUAGGAUGGCAUCAUGCACUAGUUUUAUCUGGAGGUGAAUUGUACACCAUUGGUGCUUACCGCCAUCAGAAGUGUGACCCUUCUGUGUCAGAAAAUGCAGUAGCGCAGAAACUGAAUCUUACCACAACAAGCAGUAAACAUCAUGAAUCAUUUUCAGUGUCAAAUUUAGCGAAGGUGCCCUCUAUUCAUGGACAGCAGGUGACCCAGAUAGCAGCCGGCACUGAACAUUCAGCUUUGGUGACAGACAGCGGAGCAUUGUUCACCUGGGGCUGGGGAGAGCACGGGCAACUGGGCUUGGGAGAUACUUGUGAUCAGGUGGUUCCUCGGAGAGUAAAUCUAGGCGACGAGGGCUCACGUUCUUCUGCUUCGCUCAGCGUGUACUGUGGGAGCGGAUUUACCGUCGCCGUGAGCCUGCCUUAGUGGCAGAUGUACUGUUGUACCACCGUAUUUUGGUUAUGUCUCCACACAGUAUGUCAGAAAGGUGAACACCAGUGUAGAUGCUUUCUUGUAAUGCUGUUGGAGAGUGAAGGAGGAACGCAACAGGAUUUGCUCCGUGUGUGUAUGAAUGAACCACUUGUUGUCUAGUAUUAUAAUCCGGCUCGGGGCAGCAAUAUUGUUGCAUCCCGCGAUUUGGACUUGUCAACUGGAGUAUUAGUGAAAAUGGAAGAUGGAAUAAUACAGACACCGUACUGUCCGGUGCCAUUCAUAAUU
rnacentral:rRNA from 1 species